rnacentral:rRNA from 1 species
UGCAAGUCGAGCGGCAGCGCGGGGGCAACCCUGGCGGCGAGCGGCGAACGGGUGAGUAAUGUAUCGGAACGUACCCAGUCGUGGGGGAUAACUAUCCGAAAGGAUAGCUAAUACCGCAUACGUCCUGAGGGAGAAAGCGGGGGACCGUAAGGCCUCGCGCGAUUGGAGCGGCCGAUAUCGGAUUAGCUAGUUGGUGAGGUAAAGGCUCACCAAGGCGACGAUCCGUAGCUGGUCUGAGAGGACGACCAGCCACACUGGAACUGAGACACGGUCCAGACUCCUACGGGAGGCAGCAGUGGGGAAUUUUGGACAAUGGGGGCAACCCUGAUCCAGCCAUUCCGCGUGAGUGAAGAAGGCCUUCGGGUUGUAAAGCUCUUUCAGCAGGAACGAAACGGUGGUCCCUAAUACGGGCUGCUAAUGACGGUACCUGAAGAAGAAGCACCGGCUAACUACGUGCCAGCAGCCGCGGUAAUACGUAGGGUGCGAGCGUUAAUCGGAAUUACUGGGCGUAAAGCGUGCGCAGGCGGUUAUAUAAGACAGAUGUGAAAUCCCCGGGCUUAACCUGGGAACUGCGUUUGUGACUGUAUAACUCGAGUGUGGCAGAGGGGGGUGGAAUUCCACGUGUAGCAGUGAAAUGCGUAGAAAUGUGGAGGAA